CACGUAGGGGGCGAGCGUUGUCCGGAUUUAUUGGGCGUAAAGAGCUCGUAGGCGGCUCGGUAAGUGAGGUGUGAAAACUCCAGGCUCAACCUGGAGACGCCACCUCAUACUGCCGUGGCUAGAGUCCGGUAGGGGAGCAUGGAAUUCCUGGUGUAGCGGUGAAAUGCGCAGAUAUCAGGAGGAACACCAAUGGCGAAGGCAGACU
rnacentral:rRNA from 1 species